rnacentral:rRNA from 1 species
CCUACGGGCGGCAGCAGUGAGGAAUAUUGGUCAAUGGGCGGGAGUCUGAACCAGCCAAGUAGCGUGAAGGACGACUGCUCUAUGGGUUGUAAACUUCUUUUAUAAAGGAAUAAAACGAUCCACGUGUGCCUUUUUGCAUGUACUUUAUGAAUAAGGAUCGGCUAACUCCGUGCCAGCAGCCGCGGUAAUACGGAGGAUCCGAGCGUUAUCCGGAUUUAUUGGGUUUAAAGGGUGCGUAGGUUGUUUUAUAAGUUAGCGGUGAAAGUUUGAGGCUCAACAGUGAGAUUGCCGUUGAUACUGGAAGACUUGAGUACGGAUGAGGUAGGCGGAAUGCGUGGUGUAGCGGUGAAAUGCAUAGAUAUCACGCAGAACCCCGAUUGCGAAGGCAGCUUACUAAGCCGUAACUGACACUGAUGCACGAAAGCGUGGGGAUCAAACAGGAUUAGAUACCCUUGUAGUC